UACGGGGGGAGCAAGCGUUGUUCGGAUUUACUGGGCGUAAAGGGCGCGUAGGCGGCCACUGCAAGUCAGUUGUGAAAUCUCCGGGCUUAACCCGGAAAGGUCAACUGAUACUGCAGGGCUAGAGUGCAGAAGGGGCAACUGGAAUUCUCGGUGUAGCGGUGAAAUGCGUAGAUAUCGAGAGGAACACCUGCGGCGAAGGCGGCUCACUGGUCCGGUACUGACGCUGAGGUGCGAAAGCGUGGGGAGCAAACAGG
rnacentral:rRNA from 1 species